CUUUACACAUGCAAGUCGAACGGUAACAGGUUAAGCUGACGAGUGGCGAACGGGUGAGUAAUGCAUCGGAACGUGCCCAGUCGUGGGGGAUAACGCAGCGAAAGCUGUGCUAAUACCGCAUACGAUCUACGGAUGAAAGCGGGGGACUCGCAAGGGCCUCGCGCGGACGGAGCGGCCGAUGGCAGAUUAGGUAGUUGGUGGGAUAAAAGCUUACCAAGCCGACGAUCUGUAGCUGGUCUGAGAGGACGACCAGCCACACUGGAACUGAGACACGGUCCAGACUCCUACGGGAGGCAGCAGUGGGGAAUUUUGGACAAUGGGCGCAAGCCUGAUCCAGCAAUGCCGCGUGCAGGAUGAAGGCCUUCGGGUUGUAAACUGCUUUUGUACGGAGCGAAAAGGUUCUCUCUAAUACAGGGGGCUCAUGACGGUACCGUAAGAAUAAGCACCGGCUAACUACGUGCCAGCAGCCGCGGUAAUACGUAGGGUGCGAGCGUUAAUCGGAAUUACUGGGCGUAAAGCGUGCGCAGGCGGUCUUGUAAGACAGAUGUGAAAUCCCCGGGCUCAACCUGGGACCUGCAUUUGUGACUGCAAGGCUGGAGUACGGCAGAGGGGGAUGGAAUUCCGCGUGUAGCAGUGAAAUGCGUAGAUAUGCGGAGGAACACCGAUGGCGAAGGCAAUCCCCUGGGCCUGUACUGACGCUCAUGCACGAAAGCGUGGGGAGCAAACAGGAUUAGAUACCCUGGUAGUCCACGCCCUAAACGAUGUCAACUGGUUGUUGGGAAUUAACUUUCUCAGUAACGAAGCUAACGCGUGAAGUUGACCGCCUGGAGCG
rnacentral:rRNA from 1 species